CUCAGAACGAACGCUAGCGGUGCGUUUUAAGCAUGCAAGUCGAACGGGAUUAUUUUUCUAUUUUAUAGAAAGAUAUGAGAGUGGCGAACGGGUGAGUAACACGUAGGUAAUCUGCCUAUCAAAUCGGGAUAGCCAGUGGAAACAUUGGGUAAUACCGGAUACGUACUAUGCAAGGAAUUGUAUAAUAGAAAGGGUACUUUUGUGCCGUUGAUAGAGGAGCCUGCGCUUGAUUAGCUAGUUGGUGAGGUAAAAGCUUACCAAGGCGACGAUCAAUAGCCGGCCUGAGAGGGUGAUCGGCCACACUGGGACUGAGACACGGCCCAGACUCCUACGGGAGGCAGCAGCUAAGAAUCUUCCGCAAUGGGCGAAAGCCUGACGGAGCGACACCGCGUGAAUGAUGAAGGCCGUGAGGUUGUAAAAUUCUUUUCUAGCUGAGGAAUAAACAUUGUGCGAAAGUGCAGUGCGAUGACGGUAAGCUAGGAAUAAGCCCCGGAGGUU
rnacentral:rRNA from 1 species